rnacentral:RNase_P_RNA from 1 species
AAGUCAAACCGGUUCAUCGCUUGUUUACAAGAGGAAAGUCCGGACAGCAUAGGGCAGCAUGCUUCCUAACGGGAAGGAUUUACAAUGUAAAUACAGAUAGUGCCACAGAAAUAAACUUCCAUUUAAUUAUGGUAAAGGUGAAAAGGUGAGGUAAGAGCUCACCGUGCUAAUGGUGACAUUAGUAGCAAGGUAAACCUCAUGCGCUGAAAGACCAAAUAAACCAGGGUUACUUUUGUUGAAAGGUUGCUCGCUUAACCUGGAGGGUAGGUCGUUCGAGCUAAUUAGUGAUGAUUAGCCUAGAUAAAUGAUGAGCCUCGACAGAAUCCGGCUUACAGGUUUGACUUUUUU